rnacentral:rRNA from 1 species
GUUCGAGCGUCAUUUGUACCUUCAAGCUCUGCUUGGUGUUGGGUGUUUGUCCCGCCGUUGCGCGUGGACUCGCCUCAAAGCAAUUGGCAGCCGGCAUAAGCCUGGGAGCGCAGCACAAUUGUUGCUUCCAUUCUUGAAUGUCGAGCGUCCAGCAAGCCUUUUAUUCUUGCGUUUGACCUCGGAUCAGGUAGGGAUACCCGCUGAACUUAAGCAUAUCAAUAACCGGAGGAAAAGAAACCAACAGGGAUUGCCCUAGCAACGGCGAGUGAAGCGGCAUCAGCUCAUAUUUGAAAUCUGGCUCUUUCAGAGUCCGAGUUGUAAUUUGCAGAGGGCGCUUUGGCGUUGGCAGCGGUCCAAGUUCCUUGGAACAGGACGUCGCAGAGGGUGAGAAUCCCGUACGUGGUCGCUGGCCUUCACCGAGUAAAGCCCCUUCGACGAGUCGAGUUGUUUGGGAAUGCAGCUCUAAAUGGGAGGUAAAUUUCUUCUAAAGCUAAAUACUGGCCAGAGACCGAUAGCGCACAAGUAGAGUGAUCGAAAGAUGAAAAGCACUUUGGAAAGAGAGUCAAAUAGCACGUGAUAUUGUUGAAAGGGAAAGCGCUUGCAGCCAGACUUGCCUGUAGUUGCUCAUCCGGGCUUUUGCCCGGUGCACUCUUCUGUAGGCAGGCCAGCAUCAGUUUGGGCGGUUGGAUAAAGGCCUCUGUCAUGUACCUCCUUUCGGGGAGGCCUUAUAGGGGAGGCGACAUGCAACCAGCCUGGACUGAGGUCCGCGCAUCUGCUAGGAUGCUGGCGUAAUGGCUGUAAGCGGCCCGUCUUGAAACACGGACCAAGGAGUCUAACAUCUAUGCGAGUGUUUGGGUGUCAAGCCCGAGCGCGCAAUGAAAGUGAACGGAGGUGGGAUCCCUUAAGGGUGCACCAUCGACCGAUCCUGAUGUCUUCGGAUGGAUUUGAGUAAGAGCAUGGCUGUUGGGACCCGAAAGAUGGUGAACUAUGCUUGAAUAGGGUGAAGCCAGAGGAAACUCUGGUGGAGGCUCGCAGCGGUUCUGACGUGCAAAUCGAUCGUCAAAUUUGGGCAUAGGGGCGAAAGACUAAUCGAACUAUCUAGUAGCUGGUUCCUGCCGAAGUUUCCCUCAGGAUAGCAGUAACGUAUUCAGUUUUAUGAGGUAAAGCGAAUGAUUAGAGGCCUGGGGGUUGAAACAACCUUCACCUAUUCUCAAACUUUAAAUAUGUAAGAAGUCCUUGUUACUUAAUUGAACGUGGACACUUGAAUGUACCGUUACUAGUGGGCCAUUUUUGGUAAGCAGAACUGGCGAUGCGGGAUGAACCGAACGCGGGGUUAAGGUGCCAGAAUAUACGCUCAUCAGACACCACAAAAGGUGUUAGUUCAUCUAGACAGCAGGACGGUGGCCAUGGAAGUCGGAAUCCGCUAAGGAGUGUGUAACAACUCACCUGCCGAAUGAACUAGCCCUGAAAAUGGAUGGCGCUCAAGCGUAUUACCCAUACCCCGCCGCCGGGGCAAGCAUUUAAGCCCCGGCGAGUAGGCAGGCGUGGAGGCUCGUGACGAAGC